AGCUUUUUACCAAUUCCGUCUCCGUCU
rnacentral:sRNA from 1 species